rnacentral:rRNA from 1 species
GACGAACGCUGGCGGCGUGCUUAACACAUGCAAGUCGAACGGAAAGGCCCUGCUUUUGUGGGGUGCUCGAGUGGCGAACGGGUGAGUAACACGUGAGUAACCUGCCCUUGACUUUGGGAUAACUUCAGGAAACUGGGGCUAAUACCGGAUAGGAGCUCCUGCUGCAUGGUGGGGGUUGGAAAGUUUCGGCGGUUGGGGAUGGACUCGCGGCUUAUCAGCUUGUUGGUGGGGUAGUGGCUUACCAAGGCUUUGACGGGUAGCCGGCCUGAGAGGGUGACCGGCCACAUUGGGACGGAGAUACGGCACAGACUCCUACGGGAGGCAGCAGUGGGGAAGAUUGCAAAAUGGGCGGAAGCCUGAUGCAGCAACGCCGCGUGCGGGAUGACGGCCUUCGGGUUGUAAACCGAUUUCGCCUGUGACGAAGCGUGAGUGACGGUAAUGGGUAAAGAAGCACCGGCUAACUACGUG